rnacentral:misc_RNA from 1 species
UUGGAUCUGUCUCCCAGUCCAUACGGCGCCUCUGCACCAGCAAGCACAGUAGCGGCGAGGCGGGGCGCCGCCGUCUUCUACUCUACCUGGCCCGGCCGGCCGCCGUGCAGGCGCACCGAUCCAAUCCUCGGAGCUGGCGGAGUCUCCGGCCGCCCGGCGCCCGAUGCUGCCCGCCACCCGAGGCAGCAAGCCACCGCAGAGGUCCGCCGCCAGAUCCUGCUCCGCCUCCUUAGUCCUUAUCAGAAGUCAUGGACCUGUCGUCGGACCCGAAGCGCAAGCCGCGCUGCCUCAGCAAGGCUCAAGAUCCGCCCCCAGCCCCACGACCAUGACCCACCACCUGCAGAAGGCACCGCUGACAGCCACAGAUCCACCGACGGCCAACGCCCCCGACCCAGGCACCAGCUACAAGCACAAGCAAGCCACGCCGCCGUCGCAGCGGGCCGACCGCGUGCGUGGGCGCCAACGCCGCUGGCCAGCCACGGCCACGCGAGCGCGCGGGCACCACCGCCGCGGGCUAGCCGCGCGAGCCACCACGGCCGUGGCCGCAAGGCCACCCGCCCAUGCCAGCAGGGAGGAGCGGCGGGCGGCGACCAACCCCUAGAUCCGGCCAGUCAGCCCGCCGAUCCGGCCUUCCCAAGGGCGGAUCAGGUCGCCGACCACCUCCAGGAAGAGGGAGGAGUGGAGUGGGUGGAAGAAGGGAGGGAAAUGAGUGAGAGAGCAGUCCCGCCGCUGCCCUCCUCGCUGCUCGUUGAACUUCCGGUGAGCUGCUCCGGCGACGGCGGGGGUGAAGACCGGCGGCGGUGGGUGGAGUUGGACGGGGUCGAUGGGGAGCCGCCAGUGACGCCUAGAGGAGGACGACGCGGGGACAGGCAAUACUCUAAAGGAUGA